GGUUUACAGCAGAGGUCAUUGCAGGCAUAGGCUUCAUACCAGAGGGGCCUGUGAGGGAGAUCAUUAAAAAAAUGACCACCCUUUAUCAAUACUAUCUUAAAUACCACAAUAGCCUUCUUGCCACAGCUGGUGAAGAAACACCAGAAGCAACAUCCCCUGCCUCCACUCAGGAUCAAACCUUCACCCUUAACCUUGUCCCGGUCCCCCACCGACCUCCUAUGACUCCCUCUCUCUCUUCAUCUACUCUUCCUACUCCCUCUCUCUCUUCAUCUACUCUUCCUACUCACUCUCUCUCUUCACCUCCUCUUUCCCCCAACUCUCUCUCCUCAACUCCUAUGACUCCCUCUCUCUCUUCACCUCCUCUUCUCUCAAACUCUCUCUCUUCAUCUACUCUUCCUACUCCCUCUCUCUCUUCACAUCCUAUGACUCCCUCUCGCUCUUCACCUCCUCUUCCCUCCCACUCUUUCUUUUCUCCUGCUCUUCCCUCCCAUUCUUUCUCCGCACCUCCUUUCCCCAGUCCCUUGCUCUCUUUACCUCCUUCACCAACCCUCUCUCUAUGUUACCCACUUUCUACUCCUUCUCUCAUCUCUUCUCCUCAAAAAGGUCUUCCCAAAAUUCAGUACCCGGGAAAAAGAAAAAAUAAUUUAACGUAAAGGUUGUCUUAUGUAAGGGUCAUAGGCUUAUGCAUCAUGAACAAUCUUUUGUUGUAAUGACCCCAAAAAAUCAGGCAAAUCAUCUUAUUUGUUAUUCCUCUGUUUAUAUAUUUUCAGGCAAUUUCCUGUUUGAAAAGAGGGACGUUCAAAGCAGUGUAAAAGAAUGGGAGGAUACCUGGAAGCCUGCUGUUAAUAUGUCUGUGCCUAGCUGCCUGGUUAUUGUUUUAAGAGUUCCCAGUUCUGUAUUUGUUAUUGAUAUACACUGUAACAUUUUAUGAGCUUGUUGUGAUACUGUUACGGCCACUGUCUUUUUUUCUGUUCAUAUUUUGUUUGUUAUCAACUUCCUGGGUUCUGGGCAUCGAUUGUGGUUCAACUUGGCUGCCUCCAUAACACUUAACUUAUAACAUGGGUGAGUUGGUGACCGAGCUAACGUCUUCGGGUUUUUGUUUUAGAUUCACUGUUAGGUAAGGGAGCGCGCUGGCUCCGCCUUCCCAUUGCGGGGAGGGCCAGCGGCUAUCAGGUUUUGGUUUUAU